rnacentral:rRNA from 1 species
UACGUAGGGUGCGAGCGUUAAUCGGAAUUACUGGGCGUAAAGCGCGCGUAGGCGGCUUUGCAAGUCGGGUGUGAAAUCCCCAGGCUUAACCUGGGAACUGCAUUCGAGACUGCAUUGCUAGAGUACGGUAGAGGGGGAUGGAAUUCCGCGUGUAGCAGUGAAAUGCGUAGAUAUGCGGAGGAACACCGAUGGCGAAGGCAAUCCCCUGGACCUGUACUGACGCUCAUGCACGAAAGCGUGGGGAGCAAACAGG